UACGAAGGGGGCUAGCGUUGUUCGGAUUUACUGGGCGUAAAGCGCACGUAGGCGGAUCGUUAAGUCGGGGGUGAAAUCCUGGAGCUCAACUCCAGAACUGCCUUCGAUACUGGCGAUCUAGAGUCCGGAAGAGGUGAGUGGAACUCCUAGUGUAGAGGUGGAAUUCGUAGAUAUUAGGAAGAACACCAGUGGCGAAGGCGGCUCACUGGUCCGGUACUGACGCUGAGGUGCGAAAGCGUGGGGAGCAAACAGGG
rnacentral:rRNA from 1 species